AUUGAACGCUGGCGGCAUGCUUUACACAUGCAAGUCGAACGGUAACAGGCCGCAAGGUGCUGACGAGUGGCGAACGGGUGAGUAAUGCAUCGGAACGUGCCCAGUCGUGGGGGAUAACGCAGCGAAAGCUGCGCUAAUACCGCAUACGAUCUAUGGAUGAAAGCGGGGGACCGUAAGGCCUCGCGCGAUUUGAGCGGCCGAUGUCAGAUUAGGUAGUUGGUGGGGUAAAGGCUCACCAAGCCAACGAUCUGUAGCUGGUCUGAGAGGACGACCAGCCACACUGGGACUGAGACACGGCCCAGACUCCUACGGGAGGCAGCAGUGGGGAAUUUUGGACAAUGGGCGCAAGCCUGAUCCAGCAAUGCCGCGUGCAGGAAGAAGGCCUUCGGGUUGUAAACUGCUUUUGUACGGAACGAAACGGCUCUGGUUAAUACCUGGGGCUAAUGACGGUACCGUAAGAAUAAGCACCGGCUAACUACAUGCCAGCAGCCGCAGUAACAC
rnacentral:rRNA from 1 species